UACGUAGGGAGCAAGCGUUGUUCGGAUUUACUGGGCGUAAAGGGCGCGUAGGCGGCCACUGCAAGUCGGUUGUGAAAUCUCCGGGCUUAACCCGGAAAGGUCAAUCGAUACUGCAGGGCUAGAGUGCAGAAGGGGCAACUGGAAUUCUCGGUGUAGCGGUGAAAUGCGUAGAUAUCGAGAGGAACACCUGCGGCGAAGGCGGGUUGCUGGGCUGACACUGACGCUGAAGCGCGAAAGCUAGGGGAGCGAACGGG
rnacentral:rRNA from 1 species